ensembl:snoRNA SNORA21 small nucleolar RNA, H/ACA box 21
CCCCCUUUCAAAGCACUCGCUGGGCCUGCUGCCCGUGACCCAGCGAGCCGUCCGGAAGGGGCAGAGCAAGCGACACCGCUCUUGGGUGAAGCGGCGGCGUGCUGUGCCGUCCGGCUUCAAUCGGUGGUGUGACAAGG